AGAAGACAUACAAAUUUAUCGAUGGCCUGGAUAGACUAUCGCAAGGCAUAUGAUAUGGUACCUCAUUCUUGGAUAGUGGAAUGUAUGAGUAUGUUCAAAAUCGCAGCAAAUGUGAGAACGUUUGUGGAAAGUAGUAUGGAGAACUGGAAAACGGAGUUAACAUCUUCGGGAGAAAGUCUUGGAAAUGUAAAUUUAAGACGAGGUAUUUUUCAAGGAGAUAGUUUAUCUCCAUUGAUAUUUGUGAUGUGCAUGAUACCAUUAAGCUUGAUACUGAGAAAGGAAAAGGUAGGGUAUGAAUUUCGCGGAAAAGAACUCAAAAUCAACCAUCUUCUGUUCAUGGAUGAUCUGAAGUUGUUUGGAAAGAACAAGGAGCAAAUAGACUCACUGGUGAAAACUGUCCAUAUUGUUAGCAAAGACAUUGGAAUGGAAUUUGGGAUAAUGAAAUGUGGAAUGCUUGUAAUGAAAAGAGGAAAGAUUGUGGAAUGUAAUGGAAUACAGCUACCUGAUGAGGAAACAAUAAAGUCCGUAGAAGAAGAUGGAUAUAAAUAUCUUGGUAUACUGGAAUUAGAUAAAAUUAUGGAGGGUGAAAUGAAGAGAAAGUUUGUAAAGGAAUACGGGAGGAGAUUAAGAUUGGUGCUGAAAUCAAAACUGAAUGGCAGAAACAAAAUCAUGGCGAUGAAUACUUGGGCUGUUGCGCUGCUGAGGUACGGAGCUGGUGUUUUGAAAUGGACAAAAGAUGAAAUUGCUGCAAUGGAUCGCAAAACACGUAAACUGAUGACACUGUAUGGUGCUCUUCACCCAAGAAGUGACAUUCAUCGAUUAUAUUUACCGAGAGAAAAGGGCGGAAGAGGUUUGAUCAGUUGUGAAGGAUGCAUUCGUACAGAGGAGAACAGUUUGGGAUGGUAUGUAAAGAACAGUGUGGAACCACUUUUACAACAAGUUGCAAAGACAGGUGUGAUUGAAACGGAAAGAUGCGAAAGAAAAGAAAAUUUUAAGAAGAAAGCAGUAGAGGAGCUAGAGAAAGCUUGGAUUGACAAGAAAAUGUAUGGACAAUAUAACAGAGAUUUAGGUAAAGAAGUGGAUAGGGAGAAGACAUGGUGGUGGCUGAAGAAAGGAGACUUGAAACCUGAGACUGAAGCACUUCUUUGUGCUGCACAAGAACAAGCUCUAAGGACAAAUUAUGUAAAGUUUCACAUAGAUAGAACUGUCGAGUCUCCACUCUGUAGGCUUUGUGGGGAAAAGGGAGAGGAUAUAACACACUUGAUAAGUGAAUGCAAAAAGCUAGCACAAAAAGAAUACAAACGAAGACAUGACAAUGUGGCUCGCAUUGUACACUGGAAGCUAUGUGGUUUGUACCAACUAGAGAAAGCUGAAAAAUGGUAUGAACACCAACCAAAUGGAG